GAUGAACGCUGGCGGCGUGCCUAAUACAUGCAAGUCGAGCGAAUGGAUUAAGAGCUUGCUCUUAUGAAGUUAGCGGCGGACGGGUGAGUAACACGUGGGUAACCUGCCCAUAAGACUGGGAUAACUCCGGGAAACCGGGGCUAAUACCGGAUAACAUUUUGAACCGCAUGGUUCGAAAUUGAAAGGCGGCUUCGGCUGUCACUUAUGGAUGGACCCGCGUCGCAUUAGCUAGUUGGGGAGGUAACGGCUCACCAAGGCAACGAUGCGUAGCCGACCUGGACGGGGGCACGGCCACACUGGGACUGAGACACGGCCCAGACUCCUACGGGAGGAAGCAGUAGGGAAUCUUCCGCAAAGGACGAAAGUCUAACGGAGCAACGCCGGGUUAGUGAUGAAGGCUUUCGGGUCGUAAAACUCUGUUGUUAGGGAAGAACAAGUGCUAGUUGAAUAAGCUGGCACCUUGACGGUACCUAACCAGAAAGCCACGGCUAACUACGUGCCAGCCGCCGCAGUAA
rnacentral:rRNA from 1 species